GGCGCCGUGGGUGAAGCUGCCAGAUUGUCGAUCCGGAGAGGCGGGUUCGAGUCCCGCCGGCGCCGCCA
rnacentral:tRNA from 1 species